AUACAGGCUGACGAGUCCCAAAUAGGAUGAAACACGCGUCCUGGAU
rnacentral:hammerhead_ribozyme from 1 species